rnacentral:misc_RNA from 1 species
CCAUGUCAAAUUCAAGCAUACAUAUGAUGCAUGUUUUGUCUCUCAAAUUUAUCAAUCUAGCCAGCAACCUUCCAGAAGGGAAAAUCUAGUGUUAACUACAUGAAUCCUUUUCUGUGCUAAACCUUGCAUUUAUCCUUAUGUUGAAUUACAAAUAUUAUAUCAUGUGCAGACCCAAACUCCUCCCCACCCCCAAUAUCAAACCUUAUCCCCACAUUUUUGUGCGCAGGAGCUCAGAUAUUUCCAAAU